GAAGUGUUAUAGCCUCUGGUAGAUGUGAUGACCGAGAUUGAGGAUUGCAACGAAUACCCUUUGGGCUACCUGUCUGGCCUCUGGUCGUCGCUUUGGUGCCGAAAGCGUGCUUAUGGUAUUAAAGUAGGUGGUCAAAAGGUUAGAACGGGUUAAAUUCGUUAAGGAUGUUGACAUAAUGACUUUAAACGA
rnacentral:rRNA from 1 species